GCCCACUAGCUAGCUCUCACAUUAAAGUAACAAUUAAUUAUAAAUAUCUUAGAAUAACAUAAAAUAUUAAAUCAAAACAUUUUACCCUUUGAGUAUAGGCGAUAAAAACAAGAAAUGAAGCUAUAAUAAAGUACCGCAAGGGAAAGCUGAAAAAGAAAUGAAACAAAUCAGUAAAGCACAUAAAAGCAAAGAUUAAAUCUUGUACCUUUUGCAUCAUGGUUUAGCUAGUCAGAAUUAAGCAAAAAGAAUUUUAGUUUAAUACCCCGAAACCAGGGGAGCUACCCCAAGACAGUCUACAUUCGUAGGACCUACCCGUCUCUGUGGCAAGAGAGUGGGGAGAGCUUUGGGUAGAGGUGAUAAACCUACCGAACCUGGUGAUAGCUGGUUGCUUGAGAAAUGAAUAGAAGUUCAGCUUUUAAACUUCUCUAAACACCUAAUAAUUUUCAUCCGUUAAGAGAAGUCUAAAGAGUUAGUUUAAAGGGGUCCAGCCCUUUAAACAAAAGAAACAACUUUAUUAGAUGGAUAAAGCUUAUAAUACAUUUUAGGUUAAAUACACUCGUGGGCUUGAAAGCAGCCAUCUAUAAAAAAAGCGUUAAAGCUUAAGUAUUAAUUCAACCUAUAAUUCCAAUAUACUCACUUAUUCCCCUUAAUAUUAUCAAGCUGCCUUAUGUCCCCAUAAAGGCAUUUCUGCUAGAAUGAGUAAUAAGAGAACUGAAUCUCUCCUGCCAUAAGUGUAAAUCAGAUUAGACUUACUACUGAAAAUUAUUCGGCCCCAAAAAGAGGGUAAUGAUUUAUUAAUAAAAAACAAGAAAAAUAAUCACCCUGCACCGUUAACCUUACACUAGAAUGACUAUAAGGAAAGACUAAAAGAGAAAGAAGGAACUCGGCAAACUUUAUCAAGCCUCGCCUGUUUACCAAAAACAUCGCCUCCUGAAUACUAAUAAUAGGAGGUCCCGCCUGCCCCGUGAUUUUUAAUUUAACGGCCGCGGUAUCCUAACCGUGCAAAGGUAGCGCAAUCACUUGUCCUUUAAAUAGGGACCUGUAUGAAUGGCACAACGAGGGCUUAACUGUCUCCUUUCUCCAGUCAAUGAAAUUGAUUUCCCCGUGCAGAAGCGGGGAUAAAACCAUAAGACGAGAAGACCCUGUGGAGCUUUAGACAAAAAAUAAACUUUGUUAAGCGAACUUACAUGAAAAGAAUAAACAAUAAGAACUUAUUUUGAACUGUCUUCGGUUGGGGCGACCGCGGGGAAAAAUUUAACCCCCAUGAGGAAUGAGGACUUCAUCCUCCGAACUUAGAGUGGCAACUCAAAGUUACAAAACAUUUGACCUAAGAUGAUCCGGCUUAGCCGAUCAACGAAACCAGUUACCCCAGGGAUAACAGCGCUAUCCUUUCCUAGAGUCCCUAUCGACGAAAGGGUUUACGACCUCGAUGUUGGAUCAGGACAUCCUAAUGGUGCAACCGCUAUUAAGGGUUUGUUUGUUCAACAAUUAAAGUCCUACGUGAUCUGAGUUCAGACCGGAGUAAUCCAGGUCAGCUUCUAUCUAUGAUUAAUUCUUUUCUAGUACGAAAGGAUCGAAAAGAAAAGGCCUAUGAUACCUUCAAGCCUUAUACUUACCUAAUGAACCCAACUUAAUUAGAUAAAAGUAAUUUCACACACCCCUAGACUAGGAA
rnacentral:rRNA from 1 species